UACAGAGGUCUCAAGCGUUGUUCGGAUUCAUUGGGCGUAAAGGGUGCGUAGGUGGCGCCGUAAGUCGGGUGUGAAAGCCCACGGCUCAACCGUGGAAGUGCAUCCGAAACUGCAUGGCUGGAGUCUCGGAGAGGAAGGUGGAAUGCUUGGUGUAGAGGUGAAAUUCGUAGAUAUCAAGCAGAACACCUGCGGCGAAGGCGGCCUUCUGGACGAUGACUGACGCUGAGACGCGAAAGCGUGGGGAGCAAACAGG
rnacentral:rRNA from 1 species